AUGCUUAGACGGAGGUGGUGGCUACACGGUUGGGCUUGCGUGUGUGGUUGUUGUUAUAAUAUUAUUUGUAUUACUGGUAAGUGUGGUUUUCUUCAGAGUCCGUUUUGUCGGUGUUGUCAGUGUUUGAUGAAAUUGAAGUAUUGUGCAUACUUGCUGCAAAAUCCGUGUUGUGAUGUGCUUGAGUUGUUGCAAGGUUUAAUGGAGCACUGCAGAAGGUUGAUCUUGGCACUUAGAGUUGGGUAUGAUGAUUGA